rnacentral:sRNA from 1 species
GUUCCUUCCCUUCCAAUGAAGAAAAAUGACCAAAAACUGGAUCAUCACAGAUGUGUCAAACAGCCUUCCUUCAGACUUCAGACUAACUUCAACAUAUAACAGGUUUCAAGAUUACUUACCAGGCCCAUCGAUGGUAUACAUGACAAGGGGAUUGUAGAAGACAUCCAUUGUGGAUCCAUGAAGGGCACUGGUAUGCGACCACCUCACCCAGGCAUGGGCCCUCCCCAGAGUCCAAUGGAUCAACACAGCCAAGGUUAUAUGUCACCACACCCAUCUCCAUUAGGAGCCCCAGAGCACGUCUCCAGCCCUAUGUCUGGAGGAGGCCCAACUCCACCUCAGAUGCCACCAAGCCAGCCAGGGGCCCUCAUCCCAGGUGAUCCGCAGGCCAUGAGCCAGCCCAACAGAGGCCCCUCACCUUUCAGUCCUGUCCAGCUGCAUCAGCUUCGAGCUCAGAUUUUAGCUUAUAAAAUGCUGGCCCGAGGCCAGCCCCUCCCCGAAACGCUGCAGCUUGCAGUCCAGGGGAAAAGGACGUUGCCUGGCAUGCAGCAACAACAGCAGCAGCAACAGCAGCAGCAGCAGCAGCAACAGCAGCCGCAGCAGCAGCCACCGCAACCACAGACGCAG